UACAGAGGGGGCAAGCGUUGUUCGGAAUUACUGGGCGUAAAGGGCGCGUAGGCGGCCUGUUAAGUCGAACGUGAAAUCCCCAGGCUCAACUUGGGAACUGCGUCCGAUACUGAUUGGCUUGAAUCCGGGAGAGGGAUGCAGAAUUCCAGGUGUAGCGGUGAAAUGCGUAGAUAUCUGGAGGAAUACCGGUGGCGAAGGCGGCAUCCUGGACCGGCAUUGACGCUGAUGAGCGAAAGCUAGGGGAGCAAACGGG
rnacentral:rRNA from 1 species